rnacentral:rRNA from 1 species
UACGGGGGGGGCAAGCGUUGUUCGGAAUUACUGGGCGUAAAGGGCUCGUAGGCGGCCAACUAAGUCAGACGUGAAAUCCCCAGGCUUAACCUGGGAACUGCGUCUGAUACUGGAUGGCUAGAGGUUGGGAGAGGGAUGCGGAAUUCCAGGUGUAGCGGUGAAAUGCGUAGAUAUCUGGAGGAACACCGGUGGCGAAGGCGGCAUCCUGGACCAAUUCUGACGCUGAGGAGCGAAAGCCAGGGGAGCAAACGGG